UAGACAUACCAUGUAUACCCUGCAGCCAAUAAAUGACCAUGUCUACUGUGAAAUAACAUGUAUCCUUCAGGGGUUAGUUUGACAAUUAACCACAGACUAGAAUUAUCUAACAUCCAGACUAUUAAGUAACCGGCCAUCAGCUAUGGGCCGUUGUUAAUGGACUACUGGACUAUAUAAGAUCCAGCUUUGGACUUGAAGGGGACAGCUUGGUACAAGAGAUUGGUACCGGAGAUUCAGCCAAGGUCUCCCCCCUCGCGGGUAGGCUGGAACUCAUGCGAUUAUUAUCCGAAGUACUCUUACAUGAACGAACAGUUAUACUAUACGAUCACGUGCCCGUGUGAGAUAUUGAACAUUCGAACAAUUUAACUUUAAAGACAGUUUGUGAACAUUCGAACAUUUGAACUUUAGAAACAUUCUUGACUUUGUAAUU
rnacentral:lncRNA from 1 species